CCUGCUGGACUGGAAAAAAACAAUUAACUCAAUUCUCUAUUAUUCGCUGGUCGCACCGUACAGUCAACAGGUCUUCCUACAGUGACUGAAGUGCUUUGUGGGAUUUAAAGUGUUUAUAGCAACUGAGCGAUGACAGCGCAGAUGGACAGCCGAAGAUAGACAGGAGAGGGAGGCAGAGAGAGAGGAUGACACGCAGCAAAGGGCCGCAGGUCGGAUUCAAACCCUGGGCCGCUGCAGCAAGGACUCAGCCUCAGUAUAUGGGUUGCCAGCUCUACCCACUGAGCUAACUGGGAGUCCAUCUAAAUCAAAUUUGACUUGAAUUUUUGUUUUGUUAACAACCUGCAGAUACUGGAUGUGCAGCCAGUUUCCACAGAGGCUUUUAAUCAGCUACAUCACUGCAGUGGCCUUCCCCUGCCUGCUGAUACUGUAUAAUUCCAGCAUGCUGAGGCUGGUGGUGUUUAAGCUCUGGGGGCUGAGGAGAGGCAGUGGAGGUGAUGAGAGCACCAGUGGCUGGAACAGAGAGUAAGGGACCAGGUUGUGGCCACAGUGCCAGUCCUCAGCUGUGUUCAGGGCUUACCUUGGGGGUUAGAAAACCUUCCCUCCGUGGGAUCUGUCUUCUAAACUCAGAGCAGAGUCAGCAUGUGCACCACCUUUCUUUGUCCUUCGCAGGUGUAUUUAUGUUCCGUGGCUUUGAUCUGCAAGUCUCGAUCUGACAAUAAAUCCAGAGUCUUAGAAAAAUUGCCAUGUCAUAUGUAUUCAUUAACUGACUACACUUCAAAGUAAUCUGACCCAACCCUGAACCCCUGUCUAUUUUCAGCUGUUACUA